rnacentral:piRNA from 1 species
UGAGAGAAUCGAUGGCACAGAAUGUG